CUAUAAACAGUGAGCAGGACUGACAGAGGAGAAUUCUCAACCAGACGCUCAGGCUGGAGAGCUUAUAUUAUAUAUCUGCUUAUAUUGAGGAUAUUGAGGAUGUUGUGAACACCUUAUUCCAGAACUACAACCUACCUGGAGUGCCCAGAAGUACAAGGUUUUCAGUGCCUAAAGAUAUGGCCAAGGGAAGCCUGCGAUACCACCCGAGAACAAAGGGGGACCUGAACGCAGCCGAGUGCCUAUCUUCAGCACACGCCACUGUUAAUAAAAGACAAUUUAAAUGAUCCCAGUCCGCAAAGACAGCACUGCUGAUUUAUGAAUAAAUUACUGUGCUCAUUUGUAUGCCCUUGAUAACAUUUGUUCGGUAUGCUCCCCAUGUGGAGCGGGAUCGAGGUUUCUCUGAAUUACUGCAUAGAGAUAAGUUACAAUAUCUCUGUUGGCUAGGAGCGUGAUGCUUGGCGUCCAUUUUACCGAAAGGGUCAGGGUCAACAUUACUUUCUUUCAGAGGACUUGUCAAGCUAAAGUUUUAAAACUAAAAUUAACCUACAAGUAAAUAAUAGAGAGGCACUACAUUGUUUUGAAAAUGUUUUUGUUUAAGUGUUUUGAUUUUCGCAUCUUACAAGGAUAUACAUGAAAUGCCAAAACCUUUUGUAACCCUGUGGAUGAAGAAGUCAGAAGUGUGUUUGCUGUUAAAUGCAAGAAUAAUAUUCAGAAUAAAGAACACAACGUUGCUAAAAGCAAAACGAAAUUAACAAUUUAAGGAAGAGAAUUGGAAUUAAACCGCAAUAGAUAGAUAGUGAACCUUCUCAACCCAUUUUUCUAAUUAAAACCUUAAAAACGGUAACUCCAUGGCUCCUGUGUUGACACCACAUUACAGGGGCAGGAUCAAUUUCUUUUAUCAUCCUUCAGUCAUUUGCGCCCAAAUUCUGGGACCUAAAGAAAUAAAACCCCAAAAAUUAAAAAAAAGCAUGGCAGGCGGAGCAAAACUAUUACAACAGGUGAUCUCAUAAGCAGAGAGGACAUGGCAUAGGGAAGGUGUCAGAGUUCGGGGAGGAACCCAAAAGCAGACCGGGACUCAGAAUGGUGUUGACAAAAGG
ensembl:lncRNA